rnacentral:rRNA from 1 species
UGGGGAAUAUUGGGCAAUGGGCGAAAGCCUGACCCAGCAACGCCGCGUGAGUGAUGAAGGCCUUCGGGUUGUAAAACUCUUUGGACAGGGACGAAGAAAGUGACGGUACCUGAAAAACAAGCCACGGCUAACUACGUGCCAGCAGCCGCGGUAAUACGUAGGUGGCGAGCGUUAUCCGGAUUUACUGGGUGUAAAGGGCGUGCAGGCGGGCUGAUAAGUCAGAUGUGAAAUCCCCGAGCUUAACUCGGGAACUGCAUCUGAUACUGUUGGUCUUGAGUGCUGGAGAGGAUAGUGGAAUUCCUAGUGUAGCGGUAAAAUGCGCAGAUAUUAGGAGGAACACCAGUGGCGAAGGCGGCUAUCUGGACAGUAACUGACGCUGAGGCGCGAAAGCGUGGGUAGCAAACAGG